GGGAUGCUAAAUCCUUUUGACAACCUCCUCGAUGGUGCAUCCUGGGUUCGGCUGAUGUCAAAGGUAAUUUCCGCACAAAAGAUGAUUUGUUUCCAAAAUCACAUGUUCGAACGUAAAAUUUCCCGCUCUUUCCAUUUCUGGUGCCAAAAGUAGGGGUUUCUAUUUGAAAAAAUCGACUUGACCUUCAAAUGACCUUGAAGGUCAUGCUCAAUGACAUUGUCAAGGUCAUCAUCAGAUAGCCAGGGAAAAAUUCUAAAACUUUUACCCGAAACUUUUUUUGCUGGCAUGCUUUGCCAACGAGAUAAUUGAGAUUAAAGAUUAAAAUGACUCACCCUGUAUAACAAUUUAUGUACGCUAUAUGUGGUGAGAAUAAUAAUAUUUUAUUUUAUCAACAAUUUUAUGUGUGUUAACUUUGAAAUCUUUCAUGCUACAGAAUGAAACUUCUCAGAUUUAAAAUUCCUGUACGUUAGAAUACUUUAAAAUAACAUGUUUUCUUGUUUAUAUACUGUCGUAUUAUUAGAAUAUAAUAUUCGAAGCUAAUCAAAUUAGAUGUCCGUGAUUUAUGAUAAUUUUAAGUCCCGGAUUCACGUUUCUUAGUACAAUAGGUCGAAAUAGAUGAAUUUUUAGGUUAUGUAGGUAAAAAAAAUCAUUCAUUAAUUAAAAAAAUAGUAUAUGAUUGUCUCAAAAAUUCCCAAUUAUUUUAAAAUGCAUUUUUAUGGCAUAUUAAUACAUUAACAAGUAGCUAAAAUAUCGUUUGAUUUGAUUUUGACAAUACUUUUCCUGAAAUCGCCCAUAGUGCAUUACUUACUGACAUCAUUGGAUGUUAUACCUGUUGCUAUCAAGUAAAAACUAAAUAAUGCUUAUUACUUUCUCUGAAUAGAAAUAUAACACAAGCUUAUUUGACAAUCUGAGACUAUUUUUGUCAAAUGCUUUAUACAGUAACGCAAACAAAGAGAGGCCGUUGUCAACAGCCAAUGCAACAUUGGAGACUUCCACAAGUCUUUGACUUCAACAGCAGUUCACUUACCAGAUGUUGCAGACUGUUAUAGAGGCCUGUCGAAACCCGUAGCAGGACUUUCCUCAGAUUGAAGACGGUCUCUCUCUCUCUCUCUCUCUCUCUCUCUCUCUCCCUCUCUCUCCCUUACACACACGCACGCGUUCCUCUUAUCCGAUCAUCAUCAGUGCUCCGUGAAAAGUAUUCUGCUCCUUUUUUACUCUCUGUGUUUACGAACUAAAGUGACCGUGGACAUAGGGACGAUCACACUUCUUGCUCCGAAUGCUCCGAUACAAGUUUCACUUGUGUGUUUUUGCCUGCUAUAACUCAAAGACACUCGUCAGUGUAUAGCUGAUGGAUAGGGAACUAUUAAAUUAUCAUUUCAUACAGGUAAGGACUUAUCUUAUUUUUUCUUUUAAUUGAAUCAGUUUAUAUUUAAAUAGCGUGCAGUGAGUAAAUUUAUCACUCUAUUAAUUUCAAAUUUUGUUCCAUUGCAUUUAUUUGUUUUGAUUCUCUUUUUAUGAGAUUUGUUUCAUAACAUAACCUUCAUCUCAAAAGUUUUCUUUUGCUCUUCUAGCAACAAUAUUAACUCCUCAAACAUAUUUUUCACUAAUUAUGGCUUUUCAUCCAACAGAGGAAAAUCUUGAGAUGAUAAGAAAGUUAGCCGAACAAAAUGAACCUGCUCAUAAAAUCGCUAUAGCUGUUGGCUGUUCCUUCACAACCGUCAAUAAGUGGUUGCUUCGCUGGUAUUUAGCUGGAGAAGGAAUUUUGCCAGCUUACGACUUAAGGGCUCACAACGCUUGCCCAUAUAAAUAUCUGAUGCUGAUCUAGAAGCUGCUGUAGCGAUUCUUGAGGAUAACCUGUUUCUAGCAGCUAGUGAUCUACCUCAUAUAGUUGGCUUUCAGGCUACAGAGAAAACAGUGAGAAAGUCUCCGAAAGAUAGGACUGACCUAUCGAAUCGCAAGGCUGCCAAAAAACCAGCAUUGGUAAACCCUAAUUUUGCUGCAAGAUUAGCUUUCGCAAAAGAACAUAUUUAGUGGACAGCUGAGAACGAAUGGUGUCGAACCAUUUUCAUGGAUGAAAAGUUAUUCACUACUGAAAAAGAUAGUAGGUGUAGGUAUGGCGACCACCUAACACCAGGUACCAGGUCCCAUACGUAAUACCUACCAGGCUCAGUGGACGAGCAAACAUCACUUGUUGGGGGGUGGAUGUCUGCAACUGGGGAAUCUGGUAGAGGUUGAAGGCGUCUUGAAAGGCGUCUGAAUGCUGAGAGGUAUGAAGCAUAGCUGGAGCACUGGUUAUUACCAGGUGUGCAACAAAGAUUCCCAGACGACAACUUAGUCUACAUUGUUGAGAACAAUAGCCCUGUCCAUACAGCUAAUCGUAUAAGAGCUUGGUAUGCAGCUCAUCCACGGCUACAAAGAUUACAUUGGCCUGCAAGAUCCCCAGACCUUAAUCUAAUCGAGAAUCUCUGGUCAGAGAUUUUGAGGAACUGGACACCUGAUAGAGCAUUCAACCGAGACCAGCUACGACAGGAAGUAAUACAAGCAUGGCACCUCGUUGGAAUUCGAGAAGGGUACUGUAGGAAUCUAGCAAAAUCUAUGGAACACAGACUUCAGGCAGUAAUUGACUGCGAUGCUGCCCACAUUAAAUAUUAAACGCGGACUGUGGUUGAGAUUAAACUCAGCUGUGUAUGAUUCUCAAAUUUCAAUUUAAAUUUCAUUACAUUCUUUCUAUAAUUGUUAGGUAAACAUCUAUAAAUUUUGUUAUGUAAAUUUCCAUGAAAGAAAUUGUCAAAAUUAAUUAUUAUUCCUUUGCAAUUUGUGACUUGGUUCAACUUAGCUGCUUGUGCGUCUAUCUAA